rnacentral:tRNA from 1 species
GCCGGCCUAGCUCAAUUGGUAGAGCAACUGACUUGUAAUCAGUAGGUUGGGGGUUCAAGGUCCUCUGGCCGGCACCA